UCGACUGUUUACCAAAAACAUAGCCCCUUCUAAAAAUAAGAGGUGAUACCUGCCCAGUGAUUUUAAAUUUCAUUUAAGCUUGAAAAAUAAAAUUUAACGGCCGCUGUAUUCUUGACGGUGGUAAUGUAGGAAAAUAAAUAGUUAUUUAAUUGAUGAACGUAGGUGAAUGGUCUUACGAGGUUUCCACUGUCUUAAAUAUAAGUUUAAAGAAAUUUAAAUAAUAGUGAAGAUGCUAUUUAAAAUUGUAAGACGAGAAGACCCUAUAAAGCUUAACUAUAUUUUCUUUUGGUUUCUGGUUUUAUAAAAACCAGCUUUGAAAAGAGAAAGGUAGUUUGGUUGGGGCAACAGCAUUUUAAAUAAAAAGAAUGUAAGUUUUUUAAAUUCUAAAAAUAUUGUUUAAUAAAUAAGUUUAACAAUUACAAAGUAGAAUUAGUGACCUGUCAUGAUUAAAAAAAACACACGACAAUAAAUAAAUAAAAGCUACUUUAGGGAUAACAGGUUAAUUUUGUCUUAGAGAGGCUAUCGAAGACAAAGUUUGACACCUCGAUGUUGAAUUAAGUUAACCUAGUAAUGCAGCAGUUACUGAAGGUUGGUCUGUUCGACCAUUAAAAACUUACAUGAUUUGAGU
rnacentral:rRNA from 1 species